rnacentral:rRNA from 1 species
UUAACUGGGCGCUCAGUCUCUGGAUAUAGACCCGAAACCGGGUGAUCUAGCCAUGGGCAGGUUGAAGGUUGAGUAACAUCAACUGGAGGACCGAACCGACUAAUGUUGAAAAAUUAGCGGAUGACUUGUGGCUAGGGGUGAAAGGCCAAUCAAACUCGGAGAUAGCUGGUUCUCCCCGAAAGCUAUUUAGGUAGCGCCUCGGACGAAUACUACUGGGGGUAGAGCACUGUUAAGGCUAGGGGGUCAUCCCGACUUACCAACCCUUUGCAAACUCCGAAUACCAGUAAGUACUAUCCGGGAGACACACGGCGGGUGCUAACGUCCGUCGUGGAGAGGGAAACAACCCAGACCGCCAGCUAAGGUCCCAAAGUAUUGCUAAGUGGGAAACGAUGUGGGAAGGCUCAGACAGCUAGGAUGUUGGCUUAGAAGCAGCCAUCAUUUAAAGAAAGCGUAAUAGCU